GGGGAUGUAGCUCAGAUGGUAGAGCGCUCGCUUAGCAUGCGAGAAGUACGGGGAUCGAUACCCUGCAUCGCCA
rnacentral:tRNA from 1 species